rnacentral:rRNA from 1 species
UACGUAGGGGGCAAGCGUUGUCCGGAUUUAUUGGGCGUAAAGAGCGUGUAGGCGGCUUUACAGGUCCGUUGUGAAAACUCGAGGCUCAACCUCGAGACGCCGGUGGAAACCGUAAGGCUAGAGUCCGGAAGAGGAGAGUGGAAUCCCUGGUGUAGCGGUGAAAUGCGCAGAUAUCAGGAAGAACACCCGUGGCGAAGGCGGCUCUCUGGGACGGUACUGACGCUGAGACGCGAAAGCGUGGGGAGCGAACAGG